rnacentral:rRNA from 1 species
AACGAACGCUGGCGGCAUGCCUAACACAUGCAAGUCGAACGAAGGCUUCGGCCUUAGUGGCGCACGGGUGCGUAACGCGUGGGAAUCUGCCCUUGGGUUCGGAAUAACAGCGGGAAACUGCUGCUAAUACCGGAUGAUGACGUAAGUCCAAAGAUUUAUCGCCCAAGGAUGAGCCCGCGUAGGAUUAGCUAGUUGGUGGGGUAAAGGCCCACCAAGGCGACGAUCCUUAGCUGGUCUGAGAGGAUGAUCAGCCACACUGGGACUGAGACACGGCCCAGACUCCUACGGGAGGCAGCAGUGGGGAAUAUUGGACAAUGGGCGAAAGCCUGAUCCGGCAAUGCCGCGUGAGUGAUGAAGGCCUUAGGGUUGUAAAGCUCUUUUACCCGGGAUGAUAAUGACAGUACCGGGAGAAUAAGCUCCGGCUAACUCCGUG